CUAACAGCCUGAGAGAAAAGGACACUGCAUAUCACAGAGAGAUGCAUAGAUGUUACACUCAGAAAGAGAGUGAACAACUAGAAGAUGUGGAAGAACCAGUUUGGCUCUGGAGUCAAGAAUUCUCAAAACAGCUUUCUGAACCUGAAUCGCACGCAGUAAAGCUGGUGUUCUCCUGAAGCCAACAUUUAUGGUAUCACCUUGCUGAUCCAGGCAAAAUGGCAAAAGUGUAGUGAACAUAAAGCCAGGGGCUGAGAUUGUGGAUGUCCUCUGUACCAAGUUUCUUAUUAUGAAAAUUCCAAGGGCCAAUUUUGAAACAAACCAGGCAGAGACCCAGAUGCAGAAUCCUGCAGGCUGAGGGAUGUUAGGAAGAGUUAGCCCACCACUGCUGCGCUGAAACCAGGAUGACGCAAACUGGGCCUCAGGCCAGGCUUAGAAUAUAAACUGACACCUUGAAGAAGUGACCAUCUUGUAAUCAACACUUUAUUCUAAGGAUAACAGAGAUAAAUGAUAUAAGGAUCUCUGUUUCUUAAUGGCAUUGUUGAGCCCUAAACUUUCUACUGCUAGAUAUUUUAUCGCAUGAAAUAAAUAAGCCUUAGUUGCUUAAAA
rnacentral:lncRNA from 1 species